rnacentral:tRNA from 1 species
CGGGGCGUAGCGCAGCUUGGUCUAGCGCGCCUGCUUUGGGAGCAGGAGGUCGCGAGUUCGAAUCUCGCCGCCCCGACCA